rnacentral:rRNA from 1 species
GAACGGGUGAGUAAUACAUAAGUAACCUGCCCUAGACAGGGGGAUAACUAUUGGAAACGAUAGCUAAGACCGCAUAGGUACGGACACUGCAUGGUGACCGUAUUAAAAGUGCCUCAAAGCACUGGUAGAGGAUGGACUUAUGGCGCAUUAGCUGGUUGGCGGGGUAACGGCCCACCAAGGCGACGAUGCGUAGCCGACCUGAGAGGGUGACCGGCCACACUGGGACUGAGACACGGCCCAGACUCCUACGGGAGGCAGCAGUAGGGAACUUUCGGCAAUGGGGGAAACCCUGACCGAGCAACGCCGCGUGAAGGAAGAAGGUUUUCGGAUUGUAAACUUCUGUUAUAAAGGAAGAACGGCGGCUACAGGAAAUGGUAGCCGAGUGACGGUACUUUAUUAGAAAGCCACGGCUAACUACGUGCCAGCAGCCGCGGUAAUACGUAAGUGGCAAGCGUUA